UACGGAAGGCAGCAGUGGGGAAUAUUGCACAAUGGGCGAAAGCCUGAUGCAGCUAUGCCGCGUGUAUGAAGAAGGCCUUAGGGUUGUAAAGUACUUUCAUCGGGGAGGAAAAACAAAACUAAUAAUUUUAUUUCUUGACGUUACCCGAAAAAGAAGCACCGGCUAACUCCGUGCCAGCAGCCGCGGUAAUACGGAGGGUGCUAGCGUUAAUCAGAAUUACUGGGCGUAAAGAGCACGUAGGUGGUUUUUUAAGUCAGAUGUGAAAUCCCUGGGCUUAACCUAGGAACUGCAUUUUGAAACUGAAAUACUAGAGUAUCGUAGAGGGAGGUAGAAUUCUAGGUGUAGCGGUGAAAUGCGUAGAUAUCUGGAGGAAUACCUGUGGCGAAAGCGGCCUCCUAAACGAAUACUGACACUGAGGUGCGAAAGCGUGGGGAGCAAACAGGGAUUAGAUACCCGU
rnacentral:rRNA from 1 species